CAAAAAUAAAAUGUAAAAUUAUAUCAAACAUGAAAAUUGAAAUCCAAUAUAUCAUCAUUUCCUUAUAAUAUACUAGUAUUGAAUCAACUAUUUACUGGUGAAUUACAUUCGGAUUUCGGUCUAAGGUAUCCGCACUUGUCUCCGGAAAUAUUAUAUCCACGCAAGUUGUCAACAUCCGUUUUUAAACUGGCCAAGGUGUUCUUCACGAUCUCUAUGGAAAAUAUUCACGCUUUCCCUUUUUGCUCAGACAAUAGAACAUUGUAAACCUCUAUCUGAAAAUACUGACCAAAAUGAAUCGAAUUCGAAAGCAGGAUGGAGAAAGAUGUUCACUAUGAAUCAAAAAUUCAAUACAGAGGACUUUUAUAUACAUGUAUCAACAAAAACACUAUCAGAAUAUGCACAUAUACAUCAAGAAAACAGUAAUCAAAUGGAAUGUCAAAGACAAGUAAUGUUGAAAGCAAAACUAUUUUGUUUAAAAUAGAAAACAAUAUGACUAGAAUAUAUUAACAUGAUUAAGGUACACUGUCAGCAUGCAUCAAAAGAAUUUUUUUACUAGAGGAUGAACAUUUUGAUACCUGGAAUCAGCAAUGUAUAUGAAAAUGAAAAUAAGAUACAUUCAUGUACAGAAUGGUAAACAUGUGGUUCAAUUGUUUAUUAGCAGACAUUUUUGUUGAACUUAUGCAGGAUUGAACAAAUGAAACUUAAGCUGACUAUGGGCUCAAUGUGUAGUAAAAAGAGGAUUUUGAAAUAUGCAAGAUUCAUCAACGUUAAC